ACAACAUGGGCCAAGUGGGAGAAUGUUAGAUUAUGGCCUCACAAUUGCCACAAAUUGGGCCUUUAAACUAAGCUCAUUAAGUCUAGCCCAUUAUCUAGAACCCUGUACUACGGUUUCUCAUACGGAUGAGAUUGACUGUAUGGGCAGUUUCUUUGUAUGGGACAGAAACUGUGGAUGGAAGUUCCGUAACUUCCAUCCUUCUUCCUCUUUAAAAAUCCACCCUUGAUGGGAGGAUUAGGAUCUGUAGGACGAGAGGAAAUCAGAGAGAGGUCUCUGGCCUUGCAAGCAAAAAGCCCUAUUCCAUUGUUGGCACUUGAGAGAGGCUAGAAGAUUUCACUCUUCUCCGUCGAAGGAUUGAGGUCGCAUCCUGCUUGUGUGGAUCGACAUCCCCUUCAUGGCUGGAGUAUUUUCUGUAUUGAGAUUAAGUUAUUCAUCUCACAUAACAAUCAUAAUAAUUGUCUAAAAUGACAGUUCAACUUAAACAAAUCCUAAUUUAAAAUAGCUUGUGCCACUAUCUGUGAGGAACCGUAUGGGCGUGUGUUUAGUCUCACAUCGGUUAUUCGCUGGGUAGAUCUUGGGUACUCAUACAGGAUCAAAAAACCCAAAUAAUAACUUCCGGCUAGCCAUUUUAGGUGAGGUCCUAGGUUGUUAUAAAUAGUAUCGGAGCGGACCCAACUCAUAAUCUAUGUGGACCAGGAAACACUGCAAUACGGAUCCAUUGGGGCUGACCACGAGCCGAUCGUAGUGUUUGUGAUUAGAUUUGAACCCUUAGCUUG
rnacentral:lncRNA from 1 species